UACGGGGGGAGUAAGCGUUGUUCGGAUUUACUGGGCGUAAAGGGCGCGUAGGCGGCUUGGUAAGUCUGCUCUGAAAGCCCGGGGCUCAACCCCGGGAGGCGGGUGGAUACUGUCAAGCUCGAGUCCGGAAGAGGAGUGUGGAAUUCCUGGUGUAGCGGUGAAAUGCGCAGAUAUCAGGAGGAACACCGGUGGCGAAGGCGGUUCUCUGGGCAUUGACCUGACGCUGAGGAGCUGAAAGUGUGGGGAGCGAACAGG
rnacentral:rRNA from 1 species